rnacentral:rRNA from 1 species
UACGUAGGGUGCAAGCGUUGUCCGGAAUUAUUGGGCGUAAAGAGCUCGUAGGCGGUCUGUCGCGUCUGCUGUGAAAACUCAGGGCUUAACCCUGAGCUUGCAGUGGGUACGGGCAGACUAGAGUGCGGUAGGGGAGACUGGAAUUCCUGGUGUAGCGGUGAAAUGCGCAGAUAUCAGGAGGAACACCAAUGGCGAAGGCAGCACUCUGGGACGUGA